rnacentral:rRNA from 1 species
UACGGGGGGGGGGGGGGGGCAAGCGUUUUUUUUUUUGUUCGGAAUUUACUGGGCGUAAAGGGGCGCGUAGGCGGUUCCGCUUAAGUUUAGAUGUGAAAACUCUUGGGCUCAACCCCAGAGCCUGCAUUCUAAUACUUGACGGGCUAGAGUUUCUGGAGGGGGGGUUAGGCGGAAUUUCCUUGGUGUAGCGGUGAAAUUGCGUAGAUUAUCAGGAGGAACACCGGUUGGCGAAGGCGGCUACCUGGACAGAAACUGACGCUUGAGGCGCGAAAGCUUAGGGGGGAGCAAACAGG